AGAGUUUGAUCCUGGCUCAGGAUGAACGCUAGCUACAGGCUUAACACAUGCAAGUCGAGGGGCAGCAUGUGGUUGCUUGCAACCAAUGAUGGCGACCGGCGCACGGGUGAGUAACGCGUAUCCAACCUUCCCCUUAGUAGGGCAUAGCCCGUAGAAAUGCGGAUUAAUACCCUAUGUUGUAUAUGGAGGACAUCUGAUUUAUACCAAAGGUUCACCGCUAAGGGAUGGGGAUGCGUCUGAUUAGGUUGUUGGCGGGGUAACGGCCCACCAAGCCUACGAUCAGUAGGGGUUCUGAGAGGAAGGUCCCCCACAUUGGAACUGAGACACGGUCCAAACUCCUACGGGAGGCAGCAGUGAGGAAUAUUGGUCAAUGGACGAGAGUCUGAACCAGCCAAAGUAGCGUGCAGGAUGACGGCCCUAUGGGUUGUAAACUGCUUUUAUACGGGGAUAAAGUGAGGGACGUGUCCCUUUUUGUAGGUACCGUAUGAAUAAGGACCGGCUAAUUCCGUGCCAGCCGCCGC
rnacentral:rRNA from 1 species